rnacentral:tRNA from 1 species
GGAAAGAUGCCAGAGAGGUCGAUUGGGCCGCACUCGAAAUGCGGUGAACGGGUAACUGUUCCGGGGGUUCGAAUCCCUCUCUUUCCG